rnacentral:lncRNA from 1 species
UGUGUGUCUGGUUUAAUUGAAGGUCCCCUACUGGUCCCACUUCCAUAAGUAGCUGCAAUGGUGAGAAAAGGGGAGGGGAACCCAUCCCCAAAGGGAGGGGUCAUCUCCCCAACAUUCCCUUUACACACAGAACUAAACAGAUGAGCACAGGAGUUCCCAUCAUAGCUCAGCGGAAACAAAUCCAACUAGGAACCAUGAGGUUGUGGGUUCGAUCCCUGGCCUUGCUCAGUGCGUUAAGGAUCCGGCAUUGCCAUGAGCUGUGGUGUAGGUUGAAGAUGCGGCUUGGAUCUGGCAUGGCUGUGGCUGUGGUAUAGGCCAGGGGCUACAGCUCCGAUUAGACCCCUCACCUGGGAACCUCCAUGUGCCAUGAGUGCAGCCCUAAAAACAAAACAAAACAAAACAGACAGACAAGCCCCAAGUCACUCUUGUGGUUAGAAGUCAGCUGUAAUGUAAGGGGGAGGGACAAGCGGAGAGCAAGGGGUGUACCUGAAAAAGACCGACCCACAGACCCCCCCUGAACUGCACUGCUGGAGGUACUUGGGUCUGCCUCAACUCAAGGAGAGUCAGGAUAUCCAAAGUGGUUGAGGAAGGUCAAGCCAUCAGGGAUGGAGGCAGGAGGAAGGUCCACGAGGUGGGGGCUGUUUGUGCUCCCCCGGCUGGAAUCCCCCAAAUCCUUCAGGCCAGGAAAGGGCCAAUCUGUAGCUCCGGUGAGUAGGUCUGGUGCUGCCAGACGCUCCAGGCAGGGAGCUAGAAGGGGGCCAACAAAGCCUGCUCUCUAGGGAGAAAUGACGCUGCCCCCAGCUUCUCAACCAGGGUGCAGCGGUCCUUGAGCUCUACAGUUGGCUUGUAGUGCAAACUUGAUCCCCUUAAGCUUCUUCUUGCAGGUGUCCUUGGAGCUGGCAGAGAUCAUUUUGCUCUGAAGACUACAGACUGGCAGGAGAGCAUCACCUUCUUUCAAGGCUUCGCCUCCUCUGGUGUCGACAGCUUGUGCACCAGCAUGUCAUUGAAGCCACAUUUGCAGAAGAGAGCGCAAUGAGCAGAGCCAGAGCUGAGGGCUGCCUCCCUGCUGCAGGGAUCCUCCUCAGGCCAGGACGGCUUUCAAUCACUCUACCCCUGGACCAGGAAAGCAAGCACCAUGUCUACCCCAGGACAUGGUUCCUUUCAGUUCUGACAUGACUUUUUCUGGAGUCAUUAAAAAUACCAAAUGUGGUUCAAUGCAGCAGUACAGUCAAUGGCAACUGCAUUCCUCUGGUUGCUCAAGGCGAGACCUGGGAACCCUUCUUGACUCCUUCAUUCCCUCACUCCACCCCACAUCCAAUCCAUUAUCCAACCCUGUGAGCACUACUGCAAAAUACCCCUGGAAUCUGACCCCGUCUCACUUCAUCCGCAGUGUCCGCUGGGGCUAAGUUAUCCUCAUCUUCCAUCAAAAUACUUCAAUGGUCUCCAACCCGGUCUCCUCCUACUUGCUGCUCUAUCAUCUCAUCUACAGAGAAGCCAGAGUGAUCUUUUCAAAAUAGUAAGUUAUAUCAUGUCACCCCUCAGCUCAAUAAUCCUCCAGUGGUUCCCCUAUCACGCCAAAGAAAAGGCAAAAGACCUAACAAUUGCUGAGGUGACCCUACAUAUUCCAGCUUGUCACCUCUUCAGUCUCAUCCCCUACCUCUCUCCCCUGACUCACUCUGCUUCAGCCAGACUGGCUUCUUGCUGCAUCCCCAAAACAUCGGGUAUGCCUGUGUCUUAAGGCUUACAUAGGUGCUAUUCCCUCAGCCUGCCAUCCCCUUCGUGCCAAUAUCUUCUUCGUUCAUUCCCUUUGUCCAAAAGUAAUGUUAUCAGAGAGAAGUUGCAUAACCAUCCUCAUGAAAAUAUACCUAGUCUAUCUUUAAGGAACUGACUUUGCUUUAUUUUUCAUAGCACUUACCAUUACCUAAACUAUUUAAGCAUUUGUUUACACAUCAAUUUUUUCCCCUCCUAGAAUAAAAGUUCUAUGAUAGAAAGGUUGUACACCCCAUAGCCCCAAUAUCUAGAACAGUAAAGGCAUUCAAUGAAUAGUUAAUGAAAAUGAAUGAAAGAUUUUGAACAAAUACAUAGAAGAGGAAGUGGUUAAUAACAGAUGAAAAAGUGUCCAAACUUUCCAAUAAGAAAAGAAACUGACCAAUUUCUCGUUGACCAAGAGAAUAUCUUUGCCUAUUAAAUUGACGACUGCAACCAAAUAAUCAAUCCAUUGCUUUGAUAAAGCAAUACAACUGGUGUUUUCAUUUAUUAUUAGCAACCAGUCUCACUGAUGUACUUAAUAGAUAUUUAUUGAGUGCUACUAUGUAUGAGCCAUUGGGUAAUUUUCCAAUACUCUAAUCCACCAUAAGGUUCAAAGUCUAUGUGUUUGUCCAGAUCAGCUAGAUUAGCCGUGGUAACAAAUUAACUCUGGAAUCCAGUAGACCACCAUCACAAAGCUUCACUCUUGCUCACUCAAACCACCUCCCUCAGAUUGAUGGAAAGGUAGUAUUACCAUGGCCCUUCCCCUCACAUUGCUUUGCCCAGAACUAGUCACACAGCCCUACCCACCUGCCCAGAGGCCAAGAAAGGACGUUUUCUGCAUGUCCCAACAUGGAUGGACCUGGAAGGUAUUAUGCUAAGUGAAAUAAGUCAGUGAAAAACAAAUGCCAGGCAUUCCCAUCAUGGCUCAGUGGUUAGUGAACCUGACUAGCCUCCACGAGGACACAGGUUCGAUCCCUGGCCUCGCUCAGUGGAUUAAGGAUCCGGCCUUGCUGUCAGCUGUGGUGUAGGUCACAGACAUGGCUCGGAUCCCAAGUUGCUGUAGCUGUGGUGUAAGCCGACAGCUACAGCUUCGAUUGGACCCCUAGCCUGGGAACCUCGGGGGCGGCCCAAAAAAAAAAAAAAAAAAAAAAAAAAAAGACAAAUACCAUAUGGUCUCACUUAUAAGCAGAAUCUAAAAAACAAAACAAACAAAACAAAAUGAAAAUGGUCUCAGAGAUACAGAGGAAAAACUGGUGGUUGUCGGAGGGAAGGGGUGGAGGUUGAAUAAGUGAAGGUAAUUAAGAAAUACAAAUCUCCAAUGGUCAAAUAAAUAAGCCUUGGGAAUGUAACACAUGGCAAAAAGAAUAUGGUCAAUAAUGUUGUAAUGACUUUGCACGGGGUUACUGGACUUUGCAUGGUUACUAGACUUAUGAUGGAGAGCAUUUCAUAAGGCAUGUAAACACCCAAUCACUCAGUAGGAUACCCGAAAUGAGCAUAAUACUGUAUGUCAACCAUAUUUCAGUAGAAACAAAUGAAUAUAUAAAGAAGGUAAAAAUUAAGAGAAAGUAACCCACAAGAAAAUACGUGCUUCCCAUGCAGGCACAGCUACCCUGAAGGACCGUAAUAUCUCCAUGCAGUUCAGGACCUUUGGCUGGGAGAUGCCACUGCCCCAUUGAAAGCCCCUGACCUUCCCUCUCCGGGCUGCCUUCCUCCCUCUGAUCUCAGCACCAGCCCCCCUACACUGCACUCACUCGGCUUCAGCCACGCUGGUUUUCCCUCCUGUUCCCGGACCAGACCGCACAAGGCGCAUUUCCACCUGGGGUCUUUGCCGCUGCCCUCUUCCUUCAGGGAGCCACGGAGCUCCCUCCCUCCGUCUUUGCUCAUACGUCUCCCUCCCUCUCUCAGUAGGGCCACCCCCCACCACCGUCUUUAAAACACCCACCUCUCUCCCCAGACGGCACUCCUGCUGCUCCCGUCCGCCCUACACACGCCCCGCUCACUUUUCUCCAUGUCACUUCUUAUCUGACAUACGAGGUGUUUUGUUUAUGUGAUAUCAUCUGUGCCUACUCCAUGAAAUCACAAAGAUUUUGUACUUUUAAAAUUGAAGUUUGGUCGAUUUCCAACGUCGUGCCAAUUUCUGCUAUACCGCAAAGUGGUCAUACAUAACAUACAUAUACAUACUUUUUCUCGAAUCCCUAUCAUGUUCUAUCCCAAGAGACUGGACACAGUUCUCUGUGCUGUACAGGAGGAGGAAUCACAGAUUUUUACUCUCUUGUAUCCCCUUUAUAUAAAUGGGUGUCUGAAAUCCAGUGGGUGCUCCAUAAAUAUUUAUCACACAAGCAAUGAAUGAGGGGUCUGUAUUGAGCGACUGAAUGAAUUUCUGCGGACACUUAGCCAUCACAGCAUUGUUCCUAAAUGAAGCACUUGCCUCUCCUCCUCCCCACCCCCCCAUACCUCCCUCCUCCCUAAAAUUUCUCCUCUCCCACACGCUUUCCCCUAGAUACUUUCUCCAUCCAUCAGCCUAAUGCUUGCUCUGGCUUCGUCCAACCUUGGCAUCCCAUCUGGAUUACGGAUUUGGGUCACUCCUGAUAUAGUCACACUGUGACCGCUUUCUGGCAACGCCCAUCUUGUCCUGCUUUUCACCCUCUGCCCUGUCUCCUUCUCCUUCACCUUCCCAAACACUCCCCAGCUCUGUCCACAAACGUACUUCCCCUCAUAUGCCCAUCCUUCAAGGGUAGGUUCAAACGCCUUCUUCUUCCUCAAGGCUGCCUGAUCCACCAUCCGGAAGUUAGUCUCACGCUCCAGAGACCCCAUUGUUAUUUGUAACACUUGUGCCCACAUUAUAGCCUUUGCCGCGUAAAAGCUUGUGUUCACCUUAUCCAAGCGUUUAAGUUAAGGGCAGAGAGUAAGUCUUGUUUGUCUAUUGCUUCUCCCACAGUACAUGAAAGAUGCUCGAUGAAUAUGAAAUGAGAUCAUGUACGUCAAGCCCUUAUUAUGGUUCCUGGCGGAUGACGAAUGUUCAGUCACUGCUGGCUGCUGAUUCCAGUUCGUAGCCAAGGGAGGCAGAGUUCAGUUCCACUCAGAGGAGAGCUUCCACAUUUGAGGUCCACCAGGUGGGUGCUGAGAGGCUGUGAUGGGUCUGGUUCCUUAUUUCUCACUCCCUGUGUCUCUUCCCACCUGUAGCAAGUGCCCCAUGUUCCCUGGCCCAUCUGAGCUCCCCACAGCUGCAGACAGCUUCUGGGCCAGCUGACAGCUUCCCACCUCACGUGCUUACAGAUGUCUUCCACACCUGUCACAGGGGCUUUUUGUAUACACAACCCAUAGAUGGGGGAGGGGGUGCUUAAUGCUCCUGGGGCCAACCAUCAACCAACACAGAGGGGAGUUGUUGGGGAAAUGGUCAAGAUUUUUUGACCCCCAGUGGGACAAUUCUGAAGCACGUUCAUCCACCUUGUUUCCAGAAGGUCCUAUCUGGGAUGGAGUCCCUAUUACCCUCAACAGUAAUGUGCUUUUGGGUUUCCUCUCUUCCCCGACUUACCUCCCCCGCUUCUUUAAUGGCGUCUUCUGGGAUAACUCCCCAAAACUACAUUCUCUCGAGUCCUGCUGUGGGAGACCCAUCACUACUCAACAUUUCUGAAGAAAUGGCUUCCCAGCCCAUUAGUCUGACAAAGCCCUAAAUGCCUCCCAUCGUUACACGCCAUCCCUGUGGUCUAUCAGCACCAGCUCACUGGCCCCAGACACAUCAAUGAUGGCUGAGGGGUGAGGAAUCCUUGGGUUAUCUGCAGAGACAAAGAGUUGAACGGGGAGGUACAUGUUGAUUUUAUCAUAGGGUUGCCUCUCUCCUUAUAGAAAUUGUCCCUAGGAAAUGGUACAGUGACCUACCCCUCUCACUGUCAGAUGUGAUCAAGCCCUUAGAUCUCUGCAAAGAGCUACCCCUACCUUGUGGAGACCACCAUGCUGUGAAGACACAAAGGACUCCCUGCUUUGCGGCUCAGUUUUCUUGGUGUUGUAUGUGUUUGUCAAAGAGGCUGUCAUGCAGAUGGCCAAAAAGCACGUGAAAAGAUGCUCAACAUUGCUAAUUACUGGAAACAUGCAAAUGAAAACUACAAGGAAGUAUCAUCUCACACCAGUCAGAAUGGCCAUCAUCAAAGUCUACAGACAAUAAAUGCUGGAGAGAGUGUGGAGAAAAGGGAACCUUCCUACACUGUUGGUGGGAAUGUAAAUUGGAGCAACCACUAUGGAAAACAAUAUGGAGGCUCCUCAAAAAUUAAAAAGAGAACUACCAUAUGAUCUAGCGAUCUCAUUCUUGGGCAUCUAUCUGGAGGAAAACAUAAUUCAAAAAGAUACGCACACCCCAAGGUUCACUGCACCGCUAUUUACAAUA